rnacentral:rRNA from 1 species
UACAGAGGUCCCAAGCGUUGUUCGGAUUCAUUGGGCGUAAAGGGUGCGUAGGCGGCGCGGUAAGUCGGGUGUGAAAUCUCGGGGCUUAACCCCGAAACUGCAUUCGAUACUGCCGUGCUUGAGGACUGGAGAGGAGACUGGAAUUUACGGUGUAGCGGUGAAAUGCGUAGAUAUCGGGAGGAACACCAGUGGCGAAGGCGGCUUCCUGGCCUGUUCUUGACGCUGAGGCGCGAAAGCUAGGGGAGCAAACGGG